GUGGGGAAUAUUCCGCAAUGGACGAAAGUCUGACGGAGCAACGCCGCGUGAGUGAUGAAGGUUUUCGGACUGUAAAGCUCUGUUGUCGGGGACGAAUGUGCAGUAUUUGAAUAAAGUAUUGCAAUGACGGUACCUGACGAGGAAGCCACGGCUAACUACGUGCCAGCAGCCGCGGUAAUACGUAGGUGGCAAGCGUUGUCCGGAAUUAUUGGGCGUAAAGGGAGCGCAGGCGGGAAGGUAAGUCGGUCUUAAAAGUGCGGGGCUCAACCCCGUGAUGGGAUCGAAACUAUCUUUCUUGAGUGCAGGAGAGGAAAGUGGAAUUCCUAGUGUAGCGGUGAAAUGCGUAGAUAUUAGGAGGAACACCAGUGGCGAAGGCGACUUUCUGGACUGUAACUGACGCUGAGGCUCGAAAGCCAGGGGAGCGAACGGGAUUAGAAACCCGGGUAGUCC
rnacentral:rRNA from 1 species